rnacentral:lncRNA from 1 species
UUUUGCAAAAUUAUGCGGCCCAACAUAACGUGCCAUUUCGGGGCGGGGGGAAGAGUAUCGCACACAUCGGGACGCGUGAGCAUAAAUUGGCUCGACGCAAAAUUGGCCUGACAGUUUAACUAUGACAAAAGCACAAUAGAAUGCGCCGUUUCCUGAACGCAGCAUGCGGCUGUAAUUUCUCUGUCUGUCCAUCCGUCUCUCCAUCCUCGGCUCUCUCCCUCUCUCUCUCUCUCUCUCUCUCGCUCCCCGCUCAGCCAUCUCUCUCUCUCUCUCUCUCUCUCCCGCGUUCCUCCCCUCCUCCAGCCCCUUCGUUUUCCAUCGUCCGUCUUCGUCGCCCACUUUUUCGCCGCCUAUUUCCAUCCCCGACCGUUUUCAAAUGGCGGAUAUCGCGGACAGUUUAAUACCGCGCCGCCGUCACGAACGCUUGUUAGCGGAUGAUACUUUGAUCCGAUAGAAAAUAGACUGGAAACUUGGCUACGGUUACGAGACACGAAAUUAAGACUUGUUUCUAUAACGAAGGAUUUUUUUUUUUUUAUCCUUUUUCGAACGGGUUUCGUCCGUUGUUCGAAAAUUUCUCUUUUUUAUUUAUUUCUUUUUUUUUUUUCAAUUUAACGAAAAAUAGAAAAGAUGUUGAUUUUAUGUUUGAUGUUAAAAUUUGUUCUAAUCUCUUGUUUAAAUAUCGAAAAGUAUUUAAUUGGAAUUGAUAUCGAUGGUGGCAUUUUAAAUAAAAAUUCUUAAAGGAGGAUUUUACGUUAUUCUAAAAAAAGAAAUCGUCUUUGACGACGGUUGUUACCAUGACACGUCCUUUCUCUACGCGAAUAACAAGGAACCGCUUCUACGUAUAGAAUUAACGACCCAUCUCGUCGAUUAACCACCGUGAACACUUCCUCGAAAGGUUGUUAGCGAUUCCACGCGAGUUUGAGUGAAAAUUAAUUCAACCGCUUUUACAAAAACAAAUCGAUCCUGCAAACUAAAUCGUGGUAAAUAAGCAGAAAGAAAAAGGAGAAGCAAGGUUUCCUCAAAGGCAAAAAGGACGAAUUUUCCACGGAGGGGCCUGGUCUGGUUCUAAGUGGUCGUCGUUUGAUGACGGUUAUUACCAUGAUGCGCUGUUUCCUGCGGCCGUAAACAAUGCUGCAAUCAAUUCUAGCACCGAAAUCAAGAAUUGGAGAUUUAAAAGAACCAGAUUCUGGUUUUCCAAUCGGAAGGAUUGUUUUCCAUGGCAAACGUUCCACGUUUGUGUUCAAGAUAGACAAUGCUACAAUCAAUUGUAGCACCGAAAUCAAGAAUUGGAUAUUUAAAAGAACCAGAUUCUGGUUUUCUAAUCGGAAGGAAGGAUUGUUUUCCAUGGCAAACGUUGCACGUUUUUGCUUAAAGCGACACUGUUGUCUCCCAAUUCGAAGCUAAAAUAUUAAAAUUGUAAAGAUAAACAAGUAGCGAACACUGAAUAGAUACGAAAUCAAGAAUUGGAGAUACACGAUCAUCUUGACUUAAAAGAAUCAGAUCCCUGAUCGGGAUUGACUAACGACUUACCUGACGAGUGAUUUCACGAUCGGAACUCGAGAAAUUCGUUACCAAUUAAUCGAGUGAUUGGCGAAAAGACGGGACGGCGAAUUAGACACGGUGGCAUGGCCCUGUGUAAAAUCUGUGGCCUGAGGCCACAUCGUAAUAAUGAGAGAGUUGGACACGAGGGUGGCGUCGAAAGAGUGCGAAAGUAUCGACACAGCUGUCCACGGAAACGUAGUCACCGCCAUUGUGCCGGCCGGUGCACGCUCUAACCAACCGUAAACACCGAAAAUCUAAUUGACGAGAUUCGAUUUCGCGCCGACAAUGGCCGGCCGCGACGGAUUAUCGCGUCUCCUGCCUCUAUACUUUCCAAAAAUUACAUAGGAAUCGAGCGUAUGAAUUCGUCACGGGCCAAGGAUUCGGCCGAACCUUCGCAUCGCUUGCUUGUUCAGAGCACGCGCGACGAACCGUUAAGCCGAUCAGCGCGCGUUACAAUCUCGAUUCCUUUGAAAAUUGCCACUAAAAUAUAGAUGUGUAAAAAAAAAAAAAAAGAGGCUAUUGUCGCGCAAUCCGUGACAAAAGAUUUAUUUUUCAAUUUAUGGAGGUGGAGUUAGUUGAAGUUCAAUUCUAUGGAAAUGAAGUAGAAUAAAGUUCAAGUAGAAUAAUGCAUAAAGAUAAUUUAGAAGUUGGAAGAGAAGAGUGAAAUUGUUAAAUACACAUUUUCGAAUUAGAAUUAUUAAUAUCUUCAUCUUCAUUCGGGUGGGUGUUUUUUAACACUCUUCUUAAGAACACUCUCUGUUCUUUAAUCGUGAUAAAUCUUACCAAUCCUUAAAGCACAUAAUUCUCUAAGAACGAUCGCUUUUUGUUUUCCGUAUUACCAUCGAAAUGCUUUUCUUCCCCAAUCCGGAUUCGAGAGAGAGGGGGAGGGAUAUUAGGCAGGGUGAAUUAUCGUAGAAUCAAAAUAAUUCGAUAGAUGGGGUGCCGUGUAGUACAAGAGGGGUGACCAUUUCUGCACGUUGGGGCGCCAAAACAUCCCCCUUUCCACGCUAAAAUAUUGUCAAGCGAUCGAUCCUCCUUACCUCUCUCCUCGUUCAAAAAAACAACAAACGUUCGAAUCUUCCCGCGAUCGUGCUCGAAAUCAAUUAAUUUAAAUCCUUCCUUCGUCGAAACGAUGAUCGAGAAAAGCCACACGAAUUCUGGCAAGAGGAAGAAACCUGGACCGAGAGCGAGACGACAAUACUUUCACCGCCCAUCCAUACAUCGUAUUUAUUCAUUUGAGCUAAUUUUUCGGGCGUGGAAUCGGCUAUUAGAUUGUCGUGUUGUGCUUAAGGGCAGAUUGACGCCGUGGCUUGGAAA